GAGCUCCUUUCAAAUUACCUACCAAUCAAAGGUAUUUAUUGUGUGUCCUAUCUUUCCACAGCUUCAUCUGGAGAGCCCCUCUGCCCCUCAUAACCCCAGAUGAGGGUGGUCAGUCUGCUAACUCCAAACUACGCUGGUAAGUCAAGCUAUUGCAGAAUUGCAUCUUUUGAGUCUUACUUUCUGAAAAUCUUUUCUGUAAUCCCUCUUUUCCCAGGCACCAUUUCAGCUCAAUCUACACCAGUUCUUUGGAAUCCUUGCUGACAUCCAUCUAGCUCAAAUGACUGGCCAGCAAUGUUUUGUCCUUUUUCUGCAUCAGACCAGCAGAAGAACACAUUAAAAAUAAAAGAGAAAUGGCUUACCUGGUUUACUGCCAGCCUGUGGCCUAUAUCCAGUUUAUAUCCUUCUGCUGAGGGAGGCAGUGUUUCCAUUGGCUCUAGUAGAUUUACCAUGGAGAUGCCAGUUGUAGAAAGUGAGAAAGGAAAAAAAAACUAUGUGGAGUUUGCCCACCCUUUUGAUCUCUACUCUUCCAUGUUGGCCAGAAGGCAUGGAAUGGGGAGGUGGGCUUUCCGAAUAACACAAUUCCUUCCCAUCUCUCCUGUCCAGGCUACUCCUCAAUCCUGGGCUAAGCCCAUGAGGGAUACACAUGUCCUCCAACAGGCCUUCCCUGAUUAACCCAUCUUCUCCCCACCUCUCGCUCCCUUUGGUGUUAUCUAUGCUCUUGUACGAAUGUCCUUUGGGCAUUUGGUAUUCACUUCACCCUCAGCCUCACAGCACUUAUUUUCAUAUGUGUAAAUUAUGGAUUUAUAUUAAUGUCUGUCUCCCCCUCCAGCCCCAGACUACAAGCUCAUUUUGGGCAGAAAACAUGUCUACCAACUCAGCUGUACUCUCCAAAGUGCUUAAUAUGGCAUUCUGUUCACAGUAAGAAUUCAAUAAAUAUCACUGAUUGGCUAUGGAGGCCAAGAGGGUUAAGUGGGGACCACAGGUGUACUUUAACAUCAACUUACAAGCCUCUUGUCACAUGUUCCGAACACUCCGAGAGGGCAGUGUAGAAAAUAUUUUGUUUAGUGGGAGCCGAGGCCACAGGAACAUCAGAGUACUGUAUAAAUUAGGAGCUGGGGGACCAUUUUCCUCCAGAAGGCCCUUUUCUGGAUCAGAUCAGCAGAAGAAUUCAUUAAAAAAAAAAAAACGAACACUUUACCUGGCUUACUGCAUCCUGUGGCCUAUAUCCAGUUUAUAUCCUUCUGGAGAUUUCCUUCGUGUCCCCCUGGUCCAGUACACUGAUCUGCUCCACUAUGAAGGGGAAAAGGAUUGACACAACUGGGACAAAUGUAGAAUUUUUUAGUGUAACCUAGUGGAAGGAGCGCAAGGCUGAGAGUUGAGCAACCAGGUUAUUGUU
rnacentral:lncRNA from 1 species